CCCAAAGCUGACAGCAGUCCGUUUCUGCCAUGGCAGCGGGAGAAAGGCCUGUGAGGAGAGAGGAGACAGAGCACAGUGUGCCCCAAGAUAGAGGAAGUCUUGCUGGUGCUUGGGUGUCUGCUUUCAGUUCUUCCUGGGUGUAUCUGCAGCCCUGACCUUCCUGAGGCUAGUUCGAGUGUAUUUCUAUUAAACCGUUCUUCAUCAACGUGUCAACUCAGCAUCUUGGAGGCAAAACUGACUCUCUGCUCAUCUCUCUAAAUCUAGAAGUCUGACCAGCAUUCUCGAUCAGGGAGUGAAGGACCAACUAUCAUCUACAGAAUCAGGACUCUGCCCAACACAUAGUUCCCUGGGACUCUGGAAAUCUGUCCAGAGUUUUGUAGAGUGAAGUUCCGAGCACUCCCUUCCGAGUGUGACACCUCCACCUCCUACCUCCCACUGGGUGACGUCCCAAGAUGGGAUUUAGGAUAUCUGCUUUAUCUCUCUAUGUCCAAGUUCCAUAGGUCUAAUGUGAGAACCAGGCUCUCUGCUUCAUAGGAAUAAUGUUGAUAUUUAGUGAAAUGGUUUGGUAAGAAGGGCUAGCCCAGCGCCAGGCACAGAGGAAAUAUCCUGUGAAUGGAAAUUAAAAGCUGCCAGGAGGA